rnacentral:rRNA from 1 species
UGGGGGAUAUUGCACAAUGGGCGAAAGCCUGAUGCAGCGACGCCGCGUGGGGGAUGAAGGCCUUCGGGUUGUAAACUUCUUUUGCUCUGAACAAGGCAUGCCUUUGGGGUGUGUUGAGUGUAGGGGUUGAUUAGCGCCGGCUAACUACGUGCCAGCAGCCGCGGUAAUACGUAGGGCGCGAGCGUUGUCCGGAAUUAUUGGGCGUAAAGGGCUUGUAGGUGGCUGGUUGCGUCUGUCGUGAAAGCUCAUGGCUUAACUGUGGGUUUGCGGUGGGUACGGGCUGGCUUGAGUGCAGUAGGGGAGGCAGGAAUUCCUGGUGUAGCGGUGGAAUGCGCAGAUAUCAGGAGGAAUACCGGUGGCGAAGGCGGGUCUCUGGGCUGUUACUGACGCUGAGGAGCGAAAGCGUGGGGAGCGAACAGG